UUGGGAGGGGAUCCCACGUGAUGCCA
rnacentral:misc_RNA from 1 species